UUGGAUUCUAUAAUGGUCUUCCAUAUUUCUCUAUUUAGAUAUGUAGUAAUGUAAUUAUGACCUUAAUGGCUUUCCUUAUGAUUAAACCAUGCAUGCAGUUGUUGUUCAUGGUCUAUUUAAUUCAUUUUGGUUGGCUAGGCUUAGUGUCAAAGGUUAUAUGUCAUGGGUUUUGUGAGUUCUGUUGGAUUUUUAGAUAGUCAGUUGUAUUCAGUAGCAGAGUGUUGAAGGGUGGUUUUCUUUGCAUAUCUUUUGACAUCUUUUUUCUGACUUGAGGUUCCUUGAAAAUCAGUUAUCUUCCUAUUUUUGAUAUUUUGGCUCUGGUACCAUAUAUCUGGUAAGAUCAUUGUUUUGUAUGUAUUUCUGUGAUGUCUAACUUGUAUUUGUCAUAUAAUUUCUUUUGUGUGUGUUCGAUGUGUACUUUACCAUUUAGUUUGCAUAAAUGUCAUAAAUGAUAAGAUUUAUUAUAUUUAGAUGCAUUAUGGGUAAAGAGCCUCAUUUUGAGAUUUAAAUGUUAUUUUAUAAUUUUUUCUUAAACUUUACACAAAAUAAUGGAUGAGUAAUUUUGUGUUCAUUGUAUUGAAAUUAUUUCCCUAGUAUUUGUAUAUUUUAUGUGGUGUGUGAUUGUGUAUGCUUAUAAUUGUUUGUUAUGUUUCAGAGCUGCUAUUUACAUGUCAGAAAUAGAUUUAUUUCUUCAAUAAACUCAUAACCUGUCA